rnacentral:rRNA from 1 species
GACGAACGCUGGCGGCGUGCCUAAUACAUGCAAGUAGGACGCAGUUGCGAACGGGGGAGUAACGCGUAGGUAACUGCCUAUUAGAGGGGGAUAACUAUUGGAAACGAUAGCUAAUACCGCAUACUAGUAGAUGGACCUGCGUUGUAUUAGCCAGUAGGUGGGGUAAUGGCCUACCUAGGAAACGAUACAUAGCCGACCUAGGAGGGUGAUCGGCCACACUGGGACUGGGACACGGCCCAGACUCCGACGGGAGGCAGCCGUAGGGAAUCUGCGGCGAUGGGGGGAGCCCUGACCGAGCAACGCCGCGUGAGUGAAGAAGGUUUUCGUGUCGUAAAGCUCUGUUGUUAAGGAAGCGGUACUUAACCAGAAAGGGACGGCUAACUACGUGCCAGCAGCCGCGGUAAUAC